GGGAAACUGCCCGAUGGAGGGGGAUAACUACUGGAAACGGUAGCUAAUACCGCAUAACGUCGCAAGACCAAAGUGGGGGACCUUCGGGCCUCACACCAUCGGAUGUGCCCAGAUGGGAUUAGCUAGUAGGUGGGGUAAUGGCUCACCUAGGCGACGAUCCCUAGCUGGUCUGAGAGGAUGACCAGCCACACUGGAACUGAGACACGGUCCAGACUCCUACGGGAGGCAGCAGUGGAGAAUAUUGCACAAUGGGCGCAAGCCUGAUGCAGCCAUGCCGCGUGUAUGAAGAAGGCCUUCGGGUUGUAAAGUACUUUCAGCGGGGAGGAAGGCGGUGGAGUUAAUAGCUUCACCGAUUGACGUUACCCGCAGAAGAAGCACCGGCUAACUCCGUGCCAGCAGCCGCGGUAAUACGGAGGGUGCAAGCGUUAAUCGGAAUUACUGGGCGUAAAGCGCACGCAGGCGGUCUGUCAAGUCGGAUGUGAAAUCCCCGGGCUUAACCUGGGAACUGCAUUCGAAACUGGCAGGCUAGAGUCUUGUAGAGGGGGGUAGAAUUCCAGGU
rnacentral:rRNA from 1 species